CCAGUUUCUGGGAGCCGACGGUGGGGCCAAGAGUAGGCGGGAUUUCUGCCCUCGCCAGCCCCUUCCCGCCGGCAGGACCUGGCUCCCAAGCACGCCAAGCUGCCGCGGCGUUAAUGCUACAUCACGUUGACCUGCCGGCUGCCGGGGGCUGGCUGGCCCCRUAACCUGCCUGCAGAGCAGUUGGGCUGACCCACAGCGAGGAAGAGCUUGCAGAUGCAUGUUGCUUUGCUGCCYUCCGUGCCGGCGGCUCCUCUGGCUCCCUCUUCCCUGGGCCCUGCCAGUGGGAGAGCCGAGGAAUGAGCCGACGCCAGCCCGGGGACCCCAUGGCUUCGCACACCCCGUGCUGGGACAUGGAUGCAGCGAGGCCAGGAGGAAGGCUCAGCGCCGCUCUCCGCCAGGAUGCRUUGGCACAAGGGCAGUUUUUAUUACCCGGGGGGGGCUGCUCUGGUCUGCACAAGCGUCCGAGCGCCGCGGGGUGCACAGAUCCGCAGGUUCCAUCCAACGCGACCGCAGCCGCAGAGCCGGGAGAGCAAGCGUGGGUUUUCCUGGGGCUCCUCCCUGCUGCCGCCGGCCUGUGGGCACCGGCGCCRGCGGAGGGACCCGGACCAUGACACAGGCUGGAUUCGGCCUUGGACACAGGCAAUGUGAUAAACGAAAACAACAAAAAGCCAGAAAAUCCUCACCUUGUGUUUUCCCAAAGCCCAAGCACCCCAAAACAGAGUUAGCUAGAAAAAUUCAUCAUUCUUCCCUUCUCCAAAAAAAAGGAAACAUUGCAAUUUCUUUUUUUCUUUUUUUCUUUUUUCUUGGGGGGUGGGGGGAGACUAGCCCGAACUGUGUUGGAUAA
rnacentral:lncRNA from 1 species